UAACAGUCGAUAGCGACAUAUUAUAACGAGGCUUCGUUUAUUUCAACAAUCCAUUCGCAUUCGUCGUUUCGUCGUAAGCAAAACGUGCAGAAUAUAUCGUUGAAACGUGUAGAAGAUAUUAGUAAACGGUAUUUGCUCAUUCUAUAUAUAACAGUAAGAUUACCCCUCAAAGAUAUGGAUGCAAACACAGUGCACCGUUAGAUGCAAGAUUUGUUCUCAUUUUUUUUUAUUGAUGUUCUAAUAAGAAUGUUUAAUUGCUC
rnacentral:misc_RNA from 1 species